rnacentral:lncRNA from 1 species
UGUACCCUGAGGGGUAGGAUUGUCGGUUGGUGCUGACGGUAGUUCUGGACUAUAUCGAAUACACUCCUGUGACCUAUCGGUCGGUUCUUGCGUUCGUACUUUUAGUUGACAUCGAGCAGUAUCUACAUACUAUCUUUAUUUACUCUGCAUGGUUGUUCUAUGUGUAGUAUCCUGCAUAGGGGUAGAGUAGAUGGCAUUCGUAUAUACUAUACUUGUGACCUGGUUGGUCGGUUCUCCUAUUUGCAUCGGUGACCUGUUUGGUC